AUGUUAAUCAUAGAUGCCCCAGUGGAUGUGAAGAUUGAGGGAGUGUCCAGUGUGAAGGAAGGAGACUCUGUAGAGCUGAGAUGCUCCAGUGACAGUAACCCUGCUGCCCACAGCUACCACUGGCACCACAGCAGAGGGCCUCUGCCCACCACUGGACCAACCAUCACACUGGAGAAUGUGACCAGACUCACUGAAGCCCUCUACUGCACUGCCAACAAUACAGAGGGACAAGGCCACUCCAGCUCACUGAAGCUCAAUGUAGAGUACCCCCCUGAGAUCAAAGUGGGCUCCGCCUGUACUUCAGACACCUCCAUGGUAACCUGUCUGUGCAUUGUGGAUUCGGAGCCCCCAGGCACCGUGGAGUGGUCUCUUCCAGCUGGACCCCUGCCCACCCUACCCAGUACCAGAAUGGAGAGGCAUGGGUCAGUUACCAUGGUGACCCUACAGAGGGCACUAGGCUUCUCCGAGACCAUCCACUGCCAUGCCAGCAACACACAGGGCAAUGCCACCUUGUCCUUCACUGUGUCCACAAAUGAUAAAAUGUUGAUGGUGUACAUUUCAAUUGGUAUUGCUGCAUUAGUGUUGGUAGUAAUACUAAUUACCAUGUCAGCUUGCCUAUUGAACAAGACGGGUGGGAGGAGUCAUAGGGACCUGUCAGUAACCUGCAAGCAGGAAGUGGAUACAGCCAAGUGUGCUUCCUCAGAUCCCUCAACAUCAAGGAAAGAGCAGAAAGACACCAGCAGUGAAAUCCACACAAAUUACUACACCAACAAUCACGUAUAUGGCAACAUGGAGACUGAAAUGGUUGGUGACCCAUACGACUGUGAUGGUGGAGACGAAGGAGUCUAUGGUAACGUGUGAACACAACAGGAAGUAUGUGGGAGUCAGCUGGCCCAGAGACAGUGGUACUCAGUCUCUCAAAGGUUCCAGUAAAAUAUUAACAUUUGAACCCAUUGUAGCAGAACAGGUGACUGCUUAUAUCUGUUAGCUUGAUGUAGCUUUAUGGUUCUAAUGGCUAAAGAAUAUGGUACAUUCUUAUUUGGGCUGUGGCUUUGUGUUAUAGCUUUUACAAGGCUUAUGUUUAUUAUCUAUGGCUUGGAUAAUUUAGAAAUGUUUUUUUACUAAAUAUCAAUUAUACACAAAAUACUAACCAGUAUUUAACAAUAGCUUGUUUCACACUUCCCCAGCUGUCUGUUGCAAUUGUGUGUUGAGGCGGCAGGUAGCCUAGUGGUUAGAGCUUUGGGUCAGUAACCGAAAGGUUGCUAGAUUGAGUCCCUGAGCUGACAAGGUAAAAAUCUGUCGUUCUGCCUCUGAACUGGGCAGUUACCCACUGUUCCUAGGCCGUCAUUGUAAAUAAUAAUUUGUUCUUAACUGACUUGCCUAGUUAAAUAAAGGUUCAAAUAAAAAAAUCUGAGGAUAGAAUACGUGUGUGGGACUUUCACUGUUUCUCCACUUGGGGUUGCGCUUUUAUUUUUUGAGAUUUUCAACGUCUUUAUUUCCAUAGGGUUUGAGCUAUUUCACAAUACUGACUUUGUCAAUAUACACUACCGGUCAAAAGUUUUAGAACACCUACUCAUUCAAGGGUUUUUCUUUAUUUUUACUGUCUACAUUGUAGAAUAAUAGUGAAGACAUCAAAACUAUGAAAUAACACAUAUGGAAUCUUUUAAUAGUAACCAAAAAAGGGUUAAUCAAAUCAAAAUAUAUUUUACAUUUGAGAUUCUUCAAAUAGCCAUCCUUUGCCUUGAUGACAGGUUUGCAGACUUUUGGCAUUCUCUCAACCAUCUUCAUGUGGUAGUCACCAGGAAUGCAUUUCAAUUAACAGGUGUUAAUUUUUUUCCAACUUAAUGCAAUUGAGCCAAUCAGUUGUGCUGUGACAAGGGGGGGGGGUGUAUACAGAAGAUAGCCCUAUUUUGGUAAAAGACCCAAGUUCAGAUUAUGGCAAGAACUGCUCAAAUAAGCAAAGAGAAACGACAAUCCGUCAAUACUUUAACACAUGAAGGUCAGUCAAUACAGAAUAUUUCAAGAACUUGAACAUUUCUUCAAGUGCAGUCGCAUAAACCAUCAAGCGCUAUGAUGAAACUGGCUCAUGAGGACCGCCAAAGGAAUAGAAGACCCAGAGUUACCUCUGUUGCAGAGGAUAAGUUCAGUAGAGUUACCAGCCUCAGAAAUUGCAGCCCAAAUAAAUGCUUCACAGAGUCCAAGUACAAGACACAUCUCAACAUCAACUGUUCAGAGGAGACUGCGUGAAUCAGGCCUUCAGUGACGAAUUGCUGCAAAUAAACCCCUACUAAAGGACAGCAAUAAUAAGAAGAGACUUGCUUGGGCCAAGGAACAUGAUCAAUGGACAUUAGACCGGUGGAAAUUUGUCCUUUGGUCUGGAGUCACAAUUGGAGAUUUUUGGUUCCAACCGCCAUAUCUUUGUGAGGUGCAGUGUGGUUGAACGGAUGAUCUCCGCAUGUGUAUUUCCUACCGUAAAGCAUGGAGGAGGAGGUGUGAUGGUGUGGGGGUGCUUUGCUGGUGACACUGUCUGUGAUUUAUUUAGAAUUCAAGGCACACUUAACCAGCAUGGCUACCACAGCAUUCUGCAGCGAUACGCCAUCCCAUCUAGUUUGGGCUUAGUGGGACUAUAAUUUGUUUUUCAACAGGAAAAUGACCCAACACACCUCCAGGCUGUGUAAGGGCUAUUUUACUAAGAAGGCGAGCGAUGGAGUGCUGCAACAGAUGUUCUGGCCUCCACAAUCCCUUGACCUCAACCCAAUUGAGAUGGUUUGGGAUGAGUCAGACCACUGAGUGAGGAAAAAGCAGCCAAUAUGUCAUAAGCUUUGUCUUCUGAGGAGUAAAAAAUAUCAGACCAAUACGCAGCGUGGUAAAUGCCCAUACUUAUACUUUUUAAAUGUGACCACUAAACAAAUCAAGAACACGAACGACAGUCCUGUAAUGCUAUACAAAGAGACAACCACCCACAAACACAAGAGAAAAUAAACCCACUUAAAUAUGGCCUCCAAUUAGAAGCAACGACAACAAGCUGCUUCUAAUUGGAGGUCGUUCCCAAAACUAACAUAGAAAUAGACAAACUAGAAAACCCACAUAGAAAUAGAAAACAUAGAACAUAAACCAAAAACCCCGAAACACACAAAACAAAGUCGGACUGUUGGAAAAGCAUUCCAGGCGAAGCUGGUUGAGAGAAUGCCAAGAGUGCAUAAAGCUGUCAUCACGGCAAAGGGUGGCUAUUUGAAGAAUCUCAAAUUUUAAAUAUAUUUUAAUUUGUUUAACAUUUUUGGGGUUACUACAUGAUUAUAUGUAUAAGUUAUUGCAUUGCUUUGAUGUCUUCACUAUUAUUCUACAAUGUAGAAAAUAGUAAAAAUAAAGAAAACCCUUGAAUGAGUAGGUUCUAAAACUUUUGACCGGUAGUGUACUGUAGCUUUUUUUACCCUCUCUAUAAGAACAUACCAGUAACAGGCAUGCAAAUCAAAAUUAAGAUUAUGAAGAAUUUGUGUUAGGUUAUGAUUGUAGCUCUGAAUACAUGAUAAAAUCUGAAUAAAUAAAUAAAACAUUUUUUGAACAAAGUCUUCAUAUGAUUUGAAACGCAUAGAAAUUGAUUCAGUGUAUUGAAUUGUGGGCGUGGUGUGUUCUCCUACCUACAUCAUUGAGAGGAUGAGAAACACAGAGAUAGUAUCAAAUUAUUUUUAUAAUUUAUAUUUUAAUACUAUUCUAGUAUUCUUGUCACGUCCUGGCCAGUAUAAGGGUUAAUUAGUAUUGUAGUUUGGUCAGGACGUGGCAGAGGGUAUUCGUUUUAUGUGGUUCGGGGUGGUGUGUUUUGUUGAAGGGGCAUUUGGUUGAAGUAUUCCGGGGUUUUUGGGCACUGUUUGGUUUUCAGGUAUUCUAUGUUUAGUCUAGUAUGUCUGUUUCUAUGUUUGGUUAAUUGGGGUUGGGACUCUCAGUUGAAGGCAGGUGUUGUCUAUCUGCCUUUGAUUGAGAGUCCCAUAUAUUAGGGUGUGUUUGUGGUUGUUAUUUGUGGGUGAUUGUUCUGUGUUUCGCCUUGCCGGAGUGGCCAGACUGCGCUGAACUGCCGGAGUGGCCAGACUGCGCUGAACUGCCGGAGUGGCCAGACUGCGCUGAACUGCCGGAGUGGCCAGACUGCGCUGAACUGCCGGAGCUGCCAGACUGCCCCGAGCUGCCAGACUGCCCCGAGCUGCCAGACUGCCCCGAGCUGCCAGACUGCCCAGACUGUCCCGGACUGCCCAGACUGUCCCGGGCUGCCAGACUGUCCCGGGCUGCCAGACUGCCCAGACUGUCCCGGGCUGCCAGACUGGCCCGACUGCCCCCCGGCGAUGCCAGAGUGGCCCGACAGCCUGGAAUGGCCGGAACCAGAGCCACCUCCAGAUAUAGGUGGGUUGGGGAGGGGGGGUGUAGCACAGUGCCGUCGUUGACGGCAGCCACCAUCCCUUCCCUCCCUUUAGUAGAGGGGAAUUUUGGUUUUCUUUGGGUUUUUUUUUUUUUUUUUUUUUUUUUUUUUUUAAGGUGCUUCUGGGGUUAGCACCUUUAAGGGGGGGGUACUGUCACGUCCUGGCCAGUAUAAGGGUUAAUUAGUAUUGUAGUUUGGUCAGGACGUGGCAGAGGGUAUUCGUUUUAUGUGGUUCGGGGUGGUGUGUUUUGUUGAAGGGGCAUUUGGUUUAAGUAUUCCGGGGUUUUUGGGCACUGUUUGGUUUUUGGUUUUCAGGUAUUCUAUGUUUAGUCUAGUAUGUCUGUUUCUAUGUUUGGUUAAUUGGGGUUGGGACUCUCAGUUGAAGGCAGGUGUUGUCUAUCUGCCUUUGAUUGAGAGUCCCAUAUAUUAGGGUGUGUUUGUGGGUGAUUGUUCUGUGUUUCGCCUUGUGCCUUACCAGACUGUUUUUGUUGAUCGUUUGUGUUUUGUUAUUUUUUGUACGUUCAUUUUUUGAAAGUAAAUAAACAUCAAGAUGAGCCUGCACAUACCUGCUGUUUUGGUCCUCCUUAACCGACGACAACCGUGACAAUUCUAUUCCCAAUUCCUAAUCAUAUCGUGAGAAAGGCCUCCCCAUACUCAUU
rnacentral:lncRNA from 1 species